GAUGAACGCUGGCGGCGUGCCUAAUACAUGCAAGUCGAGCGAACGGACGAGAAGCUUGCUUCUCUGAUGUUAGCGGCGGACGGGUGAGUAACACGUGGAUAACCUACCUAUAAGACUGGGAUAACUUCGGGAAACCGUAGCUAAUACCGGAUAAUAUUUUGAAUCGCAUGGUUCAAAAGUGAAAGACGGUCUUGCUGUCACUUAUAGAUGGAUCCGCGCUGCAUUAGCUAGUUGGUAAGGUAACGGCUUACCAAGGCAACGAUGCAUAGCCGACCUGAGAGGGUGAUCGGACACACUGGAACUGAGACACGGUCCAGACUCCUACGGGAGGCAGCAGUAGGGAAUCUUCCGCAAUGGGCGAAAGCCUGACGGAGCAACGCCGCGUGAGUGAUGAAGGUCUUCGGAUCGUAAAACUCUGUUAUUAGGGAAGAACAUAUGUGUAAGUAACUGUGCACAUCUUGACGGUACCUAAUCAGAAAGCCACGGCUAACUACGUG
rnacentral:rRNA from 1 species